CCUACGGGAGGCAGCAGUGAGGAAUAUUGGUCAAUGGCCGUAAGGCUGAACCAGCCAAGUCGCGUGAAGGAAGAAGGAUCUAUGGUUUGUAAACUUCUUUUAUAGGGGAAUAAAGGUAUCCACGUGUGGAUAUUUGCAUGUACCCUAUGAAUAAGCAUCGGCUAACUCCGUGCCAGCAGCCGCGGUAAUACGGAGGAUGCGAGCGUUAUCCGGAUUUAUUGGGUGUAAAGGGUGCGUAGGUUGUUUUUUAAGUCAGCGGUGAAAGUUUGUGGCUCAACCAUAAAAUUGCCGUUGAAACUGGAAGACGUGAGUGUGUUUGAGGUAGGCGGAAUGCGUGGUGUAGCGGUGAAAUGCAUAGAUAUCACGCAGAACUCCGAUUGCGAAGGCAGCUUACUAAGCCAUAACUGACACUGAAGCACGAAAGCGUGGGGAUCAAACAGGAUUAGAUACCCUUGUAGUC
rnacentral:rRNA from 1 species